GAGGUGUUGAUAUUGUUUGAGUUUGAAGGAGAUGAUUUAAGCUACAUGUUAAUGUGCCCCUUGCAACCUGGUCUUCUGCCAGCUUUACCUAAAAGCAAAAAAUGCCAAAAAGUUAAAGGUCUGCAUUUCUUUUAAAUCCUCUCUAUUUAUUUUAUUAUUGCUAUUUAAAAGAUUAACCUUAAUCCUCAAGGUUUCGACAUCUGAUUUAAGAACUCUAUUGUCUGUGACAGCAUCCGUGAACUGUUGGUUUGCAUCUGUGAGAUGUUUGUAUAGAGAAUUAUUUUCACCUCUCAGUUGUUCCACUUGAGACUCAAGGUCUUGCAAAUGAGCUUGUUUUCGCCUUCUUGACCGUCUAGCUGAUUCUCGGUUAGAUACCAUCCUUCAAAGGUAAAAAAACCCAACUUAAAUUCAGCUGAUCAUGUCAUUUAGGUACUUCAAAUGAAUAGGUAAGCAAUUUGAUCCUUACCUUCGCACACGUUUAAGAAGAAUGACAUCUACUCCUUGCUCACAUGAACCAGCUUCUAUGUCAUAAGAUUCCUCAUCAGAAUCAGAACCACUUGAUCCUCCUCCUGGUGCCUGAGCAUCUCUACUAAGCUUAGGCUUCAUGGCCGAAGUUGGACUUCCAGCUGUGUAGUUUUCAGUGUGCAAUAAACCAACCAAUGAACCAAACAAACUAAAGAGUGAAAAGGGAUCCAAAAUCUACAAUUAAAUUUUAUGAUACUAUACC
rnacentral:lncRNA from 1 species